CGAACGUUUGCGGCGGGCCUAACACAUGCAAGUCGAACGCACUAGCAAUAGUGAGUGGCGCACGGGUGCGUAACACGUGGGUAAUCAACCCUUCAGCCUGGGAUAACGACUCGAAAGGGUCGCUAAUACCGGAUACGGCGCGAGAGGCUUCGGCUUCUCACGAGAAAGCCACGCAAGGGGCACUGAAGGACGAGCCUGCGGCCCAUCAGCUAGUUGGUGAGGUAAGAGCUCACCAAGGCUAAGACGGGUAGCUGGUCUGAGAGGAUGAUCAGCCACACUGGAACUGAGACACGGUCCAGACUCCUACGGGAGGCAGCAGUGGGGAAUAUUGCGCAAUGGGCGAAAGCCUGACGCAGCCACGCCGCGUGAGCGAUGAAGGCCUUCGGGUCGUAAAGCUCUGUGGGGAGAGACGAAGAAAGCCUGUGAAGAGCAGGCCUUGACGGUAUCUCCCUAGCAAGCACCGGCUAACUCCGUG
rnacentral:rRNA from 1 species